rnacentral:lncRNA from 1 species
UGCCAGAUCCGCCACAAAUACAGGAAAUCCACUGUUCACACGGACAGAGUCUCCCCUGUAUUUGCACGGCGUCGCACAAGUACAAGAGUAUAGCCAGGAAACAACCACAACCAAAUGAAUAUAAAGAUAACUAUACAUUCAUACAUUCACCAUUCACAUCACAGUUUUACAUUCAGUGUUUAAAUAGAAAUUCACGAAAAUUCUUUUGAAAACUGUUCCCUACACGGAAACCUUUAUUCUUUAAGAAACGCUACCACGAGGGGUAGAAAACCUUUUAUUUCAAGAAAACACAAUUCCUUUAUUACAUUCCAAAACCAACUGAAAACUCAGAUAUUCAAAUAAUAAAACAAAACUGAACCAUGUAAACCGACUAAGCUAUAUAUAUCCACAGAAAUAAAAAGGGUAAUAGCUAAAUCGAAAUAACCUGGGUCGGAAGCUCUAUCGACCGCUACACACGUACCUCACGUCUCGUCCCACUACUCAACGCCCGCGAUACCUGAAAAAUGGUGGGGGAGGUGAGAACAUGUAAACAUGUCUCCCCUCCCAGUGGGUACCGCAAGCCGAAGAAGGCGAGGAGUACUCACCGGAUCAGGAAGAACUAUACAACAACAUGGGUCAGUGGAAAUAAACAAGGUAAUGAGCAGAUAUACAAUAGCGAUAAACUGAAAGGAAGUAAGAACUAUACUGAAUAAACGGCUACCGCUACUGUAACUGGAACAGAAAGCAUACAUGAAUAUCUACUAUAGUAGCAAGACAACUAUAAAGUAAGAUCUGUAAGUAUGCAUGCAACGACUGCUACUAUAAACAUAUGCGUCAAUGGGACAAUCAGUCCAAAAGUACCCAAUCUGAAACCAAUGCUCUCUUGGUCAGCACCGCAGACCUCAAGCCAAUGCCCUGGAGGUCCGCACCGCAACACCUCCCGACAGUACCACUGCCGCUCUAACAUGCAUAUAACCCCUCUAGGGCUCACGGGUUGUCACCAUUCAACCACUUUUCCGGAAAAGAACACUCCUUGCGGUGGAUCAGACCGCCAGUGUUCGUGAAAUGCGACGAGUAUCGGGCGAUCAAUGCAAUAUGGUCAAUGAUCAACCGUCGGCAACCAGCCGACAAUCCUGCCCCCCAGGGCCUAUCGACCGCAUAGGUCAUCAACUGUAAAGAAGCACAAGAACCGACCACUCAGGUCAACUAGGAUGGGACAACAUCGACAUCCUCUCAAACAUAUGCAAAUACUGACUAAUCAAGUCAACUGGGAUGGAACAACUCAACAUCCUACCCACAGUAUGUAGAUACUGAUCAAUGAGUCAACUACUGUAUAUAUGCAAGAAUCGGUCAACAAGUCAUCUGAGUAUAUGAUCUAGAACUACCGUCGGCCACUAGUCGACAAUCCUACCCCUCAGGGUACACCGACCUCAAAGGUCAUCAAACAACAAGAGUCAAGGAACAAACCGACUAUAUACAGAUAUAAGAUACAAGAACGAAUCAACUAGGUCACCGAUUUCACAUAAAAUCACGAAACCGCUCUACUCUAAACAUGAUACAGGAUAUGCAGAAUAGCUAAGUAGAGCAACAAAGAAAUAUGGUAUAACUACUCUACUCCUACUCAUGAUAUAAAGAGAACAACCGAGUAGAGUGUAACUGAACAACAUGGUGCUAGGCUCAACACUAUAUAUCAAGAUAUAUAUAUGCUAGAUAAUAACGAAAGAGCAAAGGUAAGAAACCAUCACCGAGCGUGCACCACUGUACCGACGUCGGAUCGAAGUACCCACCUGUACAACUGUCGCGCCUGUCUCCUGACUGCAAAAGAACGUCAACAGGACCUAUGGAGGGUCCACUGGGUUAGUGUCUAACCCACAACUAAGAAAUACUACAUCAUAAUCCCACUAACAAAUCCACGGAGAUCAGUUUCCCAAAACCGACUACCGUAACUCGUCGGAAGUCCCGAAAAUCGCACCGGGACUCCGUCGGGACCCACGAACUGUCCCGAAAUGUUCCGACUCAUGAUACGAGUCACCCGCUGCCACAAAACACACCAAUUUGGAUGUCUUGGCAGCAAACACAAGUUAACACAACUACACAAUUAUCGCCGGAUAAUUGUACGAACUCGGGUUCCCGAAAGUGUCAAAUUCGACACCGGAACCCACCGUCGCUCACUCGUCAUUUCUGAACUCUCGAAAUGACGCAAGUGACCAGCAAACAAGGCUCGGCGACUACACAAUAGCUCACGAAGCACCGUCGGAAUAAUUCCGAACCGAACCCGCGUUCCGUCGGCGGAUUUCGCCGAGAAACGCAUCGGAAAUCACUUUUCGGUCUCCGUAAGGGCUUGGGGCCUUGGACAAUCAGUCCAGAGGUUACCCACUACUCACCCAUGCUGCCAACAGCAGCCACAACAACCCAAAAUACAUAAAAGCCCUCCCGAUUACCCGAAAUCGCAUUAUUUCAUGCGAUUUCGGCGCUUUUAUGGUCCGUCUGCACAAACCAGAAAU